UACGAAGGGGGCUAGCGUUGCUCGGAAUCACUGGGCGUAAAGGGUGCGUAGGCGGGUUUCUAAGUUAGAGGGGAAAGCCUGGAGCUCAACUCCAGAAUUGCCUUUAAGACUGCCGAGCUAGCAGGUGAGAGAGGUGAGUGGAAUUCCGAGUGUAGAGGUGAAAUUCGUAGAUAUUCGGAAGAACACCAGUGGCGAAGGCGGCUCACUGGCUCAUACUGGACGCUGAGGUGCGAAAGCGUGGGGAGCAAACAGG
rnacentral:rRNA from 1 species